UGGAAUUUGCUUAUCAUCAAUUUGAGAAGAAGGAAGCAUAAAAGCACCAGAAAUUAAUUUCUAUGCAAAGCCGUAUCACAGCCUCCAUUAUGGAAUCUGUAAAAGAAUGGUCUUGCAUUUGUCUAAGGAUGCCCAAUAUGAACAACAUUGGGUGAAGGUUGAUGUUGCUGUGAAGAAAAAAAAAAUGUGGAAGGUGUCUAUGGAACAUAAGUUCUUUGAAAAUAAAUGUGUAAGCGAGUCCUCAUAUCCUAAACCACUGAACACGUUCAAGGAAGGGUACAUAACUCAAAUGCAAGUGAGAUAAUUGGAGAGUAUGCACGCUCUUGCAGAACUAUUUGGUUGGAGUUUUCACUGAUAUUCUAGCAAACAUGCAUCAUUUCCUUCCUCCCUGUUGCUAAUUCAUCAUGAUGAACUAAUUUAUACAUCAAGAUGAGCCUAGUUUAGCUAUGAGUUUGUUGAACACUUUCGGUAAACUCAGCCCUGGCUUCUGAAUAAAAAAAAAUAAUGCCCUAAUGUAGUGACAUUCUUUGAGUUUAUUUUAAACUUAAACAUUUUGUUUAUAACCUACUCAAAGAUUCAGAAUGGCCAUUAACAAAUUUAAACUGUGAAUCUGUGUCUUUUAAAAUGCUUAUCUGCAAAAUGCAGCCCACUAGCUGUUCCUAAAAUGAUUCACAGCACAAUCCUAUGGAGGUUUUGUGAGUUUGUUCCCAGGUAAGUGCAGACAGUCUUGCAUCUUUAAUCCUGUUAUCAUCUGUGAGGUGACAUUUGCAAAAGUCCAGCUACGGUUUAUGCUUUUAAUUACAGAGGCUUAAUAAACUUAAUACCCUGUAUUACAUGUACAACUAAGGCUGAUUUUAUUUGCCUAGCAUUAGUUUCAAAGCAGUGUUAACUAAAUAGAAUUAAAUAUAUGGAUUCUAUCACACAUUUGUCUCCAUGUGUACAGGAAAUAUGGAAAGAUUAUUGGCAAACACUUUAUUCUGGAUUAUUAUUUCAGUACAGCGUGUUCUUAAAAAAUGAAAAAGCAUGCCCAAGAAAGAGUUGCAGGACAGCUGGAAUAGCGUGAGGCAGAGAUUCCAAACAUCCAUGAUAGAUCUCUUUUUUGAAGCAAACCAGACAUAAAUUAACAAAGGAGCUGUAGUCAAAAGUGCAAAAAUAUCACAUACAUUUGGAUUGAAGUUUGGAUAACUAACGGAGUGAUGAGAGAUAAAAGAAUAUAAUAAAUCACAACCAGCAA